CACUGAAACAGCGCUUCCCGUAUGAUCACCGAAGUUAAGCAACGACGAGCUUGUUCAGUAGCUAGAUGGGUGACCGCUUCGUAAUACCUGUUGAUGUCAG